CCUUCACCGUGAUGUCUCAGCACUGGGCUAUGAAUGCCAUGUGAUUACAAUGUGCGCCCACCGUCACUUGACAUGCGGUGGCACUGAGUGAAGG